GAAUAAAAUUUCAUUCAUUUUUACUCUUAAAAAUUGGUGUGACUAAUAGAUUAACCAAAUAAUUAUAUGUAGCAUGCUACUUGUACUUCAUUCUAACAUAUAGGGACCAAUUUUUAAUAGUAGAAAUGGAUGGUUUUUAUUA
rfam:Gossypium hirsutum cultivar TM-1 chromosome 4, whole genome shotgun sequence